rnacentral:rRNA from 1 species
UACAGAGGGUGCAAGCGUUAAUCGGAAUUACUGGGCGUAAAGGGUGUGUAGGUGGUUUGUUAAGUCAGGCGUGAAAUCCCCGGGCUCAACCUGGGAAUUGCGUCUGAUACUGACAGACUCGAGUGUGGUAGAGGGUAGUGGAAUUCCGCAUGUAGCAGUGAAAUGCGUAGAUAUGCGGAGGAACAUCAGUGGCGAAGGCGGCUACCUGGACCAACACUGACACUGAGGCACGAAAGCGUGGGUAGCAAACAGG